rnacentral:rRNA from 1 species
UUGACCUCGGAUCAGGUAGGAAUACCCGCUGAACUUAAGCAUAUCAAUAAGCGGGAAAAAAAAAAA